ACCUAGUGUGAAUUGCAGAAUUCCGUGAAUCAUCGAGUUUUUGAACGCAAGUUGCGCCCGAGGCUCGUCUGAGGGCAUGCCUGCCUGAGCGUCCCU
rnacentral:rRNA from 1 species